rnacentral:rRNA from 1 species
AUUGAACGCUGGCGGCAGGCCUAACACAUGCAAGUCGAACGAGUGGCGGACGGGUGCGUACUGUCUGGGAAACUGCCCGAUGGCGGGCGAUAACUACUGGAAAAGGUAGCUAAUACCGCAUACCAUCGGAUGUGCCCAGAUGGGAGUAGCUAGUCGGUGGGGUAACGGCUCACCUAGGCGACGAUCCCUAGCUGGUCUGAGAGGAUGACCAGCCACACUGGAACUGAGACACGGUCCAGACUCCUACGGGAGGCAGCAGUGGGGAAUAUUGGACAAUGGGCGCAAGCCUGACACAGCCAUGCCGCGUGUAUGAAGAAGGCCUUCGGGUUGUAAAGUACUUUCAGCGAGGAGGCGUUACUCGCAGAAGAAGCACCGGCUAACUCCGUGCCAGCCGCCGCGGUAAUAC